UGAUGCUGCUUGGCCUGCUGUGGUCAUCCAGCUCUACACCUUGUUAUCUCUGUUCAGUGAUGGCUGCUUGAAUAAAUUCAUGGAAGUUUUGCUUCCAUUCCCUUCAAAGUGUGAAAAUCUGCCUAAUCUCAAUCUUAAAUUUGCCUUCUGUUUUAGCUACACUUUCCUCAAGAACAGCUUCCUCCCUGCUGUUAUCAGACUUUUGAACAGACCUCUCAAAUGUUAAUGUUGAUCUCUCUCUCUCUCUGUGCACCUUCUCUACAGCUGUAACACUGUUCUGCUACCCUUACGCACUCUGUACAGUACGAUUUGCCCAUAUAGCAUGCAAAACAACACUUCUCACUGUAUCUUGGUACAUGUGACAAUAAUAAAUCAAAUCAGAUUAAGGUAGCAGUGGAGUAGGGCUCUUGCACUCUGACUGAUUUUUCUUCUCUCACUUUUUCUUCCCUUUUCAUUUUUAACCUUGCCCUGAGUUUGGACAGCAUUGGCAGUGAUGAGAGCCCUGCGAGCACACCUUGAGCUGACCCAGGGCAUGGACGUCAAGUGGGACCAAUGCGGAGGAGAGUGAGCCCCUCUGGAGCAAGCACAGGACCUAGAAUCGGCAGCUGCUACACUGGCAGAGGAAACGUUGGCGAGCUACUCCCCGAGUGUGUCCACAAACAGCAAUACGUCUGCUCUUGCGAUUGUAACUUUGGAGAGCCCCAGCCAUCUACAAUUACUGCGCCGAAAUAUAUCGAACUGGACGGAGACAGGAACCUGCUGAUCUUUACAUUCAGGAUCAAGGAGAAGACGUAUGGCAGUAAGAACCUGAAGCGAAUCGGAGUGAUUCUCCAACGAGGGAUCCUCAUUCUCCUGAUCACCUGCUUUCCCUGCUGGGAUGUUUUCAUAAACAUUGAGCACAUUUUAUUGGCUUUCAAACAGUCUCCUGAUGUAGCCAAGUGAGAGUCUUGCUUUUCGUUUUUUAGUUCAAAAGAAUGUGUUUGAUGAUAGUGCUUGCGUGAAAGGAUGAAGACCAUCCAGUGACAGAAUGGGUUAGUGAAUGGGUUAGUAAGAGGGUUGGGCCAAAGUAUGUUUGAGCAGAGGUUCCAACUUGCCGAGCUAUGUUUCGUAAGGGUUCAAUCUCAGCUGGAUCAGUGACAAGCGAAGACCAGAUUGACUCUUCAAUAAAGAGUGAACUAAUGAAAUGGUGAAUCAAGCAUCUUGCAGUGGAAAUUACCUGGUGUCUACCUUAUGAUCAGCAACUCUGGUUUUUCAAUUCUAUCCACUGAAGUGUUCUCCAGCGUUCCUAGAACAAACCUGGCUUCCUGCUUGUUAGAUAAAUGAAUGAAACUACUUUCUCAACCUGAAGGGAUCAAACUUCAGCCUGAGGUCCUCAUCCGCAUCACCAUGUGCUGAAGGCAGCUUCUUUCCUGGUUCAAGGUGUCCAGUCGCUUCCCACAAUCUGGAUGAUGUAUCCAGAGCUUCAAAGGAAAAUAAUUAAGGUUUAUCACAAUUUAGCCUCCUCACCUUUAUCCUGCUGGUGGAACAAAACAUUCACAGGGCGAGUGAUGGAGAAACAGGAGGCUGGAAAAACCCAGCAAGACAGGCAGCAUGUGGAUGAGGAGAAGUCAACUUUUCAGAUUGUUCAGACUCCUGCGUAAUCCAAAUGAAAGGCUGCAAGCUAAGGAGUACUGCCAUAAAUGGUAAAGGGUGUGGUGGAGUGUUGUUUUAUGGACUGGAGGCCUGUAACCAGCGGUGUGCCGCAAGAAU